AGAGAAGAAGAGUGAGGCUGAGUCUUUAACACCUUGAUUUCCUCCCAGCAAGGUUGUCCAGAGCUGGCAGUGCUGCCAUCACAAAGUCAAUGUCCAUCCCGGGCAGCCCACUCUACCCAACUCCAGUAGCUGCACCCUAUCUUCGCUUCAAGCCUGGGAAUGGUAACAGUCUGAUGCAACUAAGACUCAGAGGUUAAAGAGGUGGGCUAGAGAAGGAGGGAAAGAAAACAUCUGUAAGGCACAGAAGAUGUAAAGUACUGUGCUGGAUGGACUUCAUCUGUCCCCUUACAGCAUCUUCAGUUUAGUGGUAUAAAGCCACCCCGUCGUCGGUGUAAUUCAGACGAGCAUGCUUCAUCUGGACGGUCUGUGCGCUGCACCAUUGUUCCCAGAGUCUGUCACGCACAAUCACUGGCUUCAGCCUGUGGCCCUCUAAAUGAAAGGAGCAGAUUUGUGGCAGCUUUCCAACCCGCAUUCCUUUUAAUUAGUCAACUUGUGGCCCAAUGUUAUAAUAGAUAAGUAACCUCUUAAUAUUCAUGUAAUUAAUUGAUUUUUUUUCAUUCAGUUAUAAACCUUUGCAUGCGGGGAGAAAGCUUUUUCCUAUAUGGGUUCUGGUUUAUGAAAUAAGCAUGUUACUAUUACAAAGAACAUUGGAGGCCAUGUUUCAGUGAUUCUCCAUGAGGACAGCUCCAGAAACUGCAGUGAGCCCGUACCUAUAUUUUAAGCAUAUUGUUUUUGCGUUUAAAAUAGCAACUGAAAUCUUUCUUAUGUAUACAUUUGAUAUAUGCAAGAUGAGUAACCUUGACAACUUCAUCUGGGCUGAGAAGCCUCCCUUCCAUUUUAACUGAUAAACUAGUUUACCAUCGGAAGAUGGAAAGCUUACACUUGUUUAAGAUCCCUUGUAAAAAGCAAGGCUGACAUUUAAAGUGGCCAACAGUUCUCAAAGUACUAGGAAGUCUGUCUGCUCUAGAUCUGGAAUAAGUCAAUAAUUAAACUGCUGAUGCUGUUAGCUAUCAGCACAUGAUGAACCCUUAAAAAGAUAGGUUGCUUCCUAUAAAUAUUAAUAAUGUCCAUUGGUAACAGGAAUAAGAAUGGCUUUUAAAGCUCAAUGUUUAAGUUCUUUCACCUAAGUUUCUCAGAUAAAGGCAGUAAUGACAUUUUUACUUCUGUUAGAGCCUCGUGGACAAAAUACACGUGGGUGAAAUACAAAUGUACCCCAUACUCUUGGUAUCACUUCUCAUGCAGUUUAUGAGACAUUUACAAAGUCACUUCAAUGAUUCAUUCAUUUGUUCAUACAGAUACUAACGUACCUACUAUGUGACAAGCGCUGGAUCCCAGCUAUAAAGAUGAUGUGAAGAUUACUGAAGAUACCAACUCUGCUCGCAAAAGCUCACAGUUGAGCAGGGGAGGCAGACAGGUAACUAUCAGUUGCAUAAGUUCCUGCACCGGGUAGAGGUACAUGAUUUAAGAGCCUGGCUUCAAAUCCUGGCUCCUCUUGUGUGAGCUGUAUCACUUGGCUAAAUAUAUUAGCCUCUCCAUGCCUUUGUUUCCUUACCUGCAAAAUGGGAAAUUCAUAGCACCUAUUUCACAGGACAACUAGAGAAUCAUAUGAGAUAAGGUCUAAAAAGUACUUUGCAGGUGCUGGUUUUAUAAAUUUUGGUCCGGGAAGAUCCCACAUGCCACAGAGCAACUGAGCCUGUGUGCCACAACUGCUGAGCCUGUG